rnacentral:rRNA from 1 species
UACGUAGGGGGCAAGCGUUGUCCGGAAUCAUUGGGCGUAAAGAGCUCGUAGGUGGUCUGUUGCGUCGGCUGUGAAAUCCCGAGGCUCAACCUCGGGCCUGCAGCCGAUACGGGCAGACUAGAGUUCGGCAGGGGAGACUGGAAUUCCUGGUGUAGCGGUGAAAUGCGCAGAUAUCAGGAGGAACACCAGUGGCGAAGGCGAGUCCCUGGACAACUCCUGACGCUGAGGCACGAAAGCUAGGGGAGCAAACAGG